AGCCUGCAGUUGCAGUGAAGUAAUGCUUCCCUCUACUUAGCACUAGCAAGCCCACAGCUGGAGUACUGUUCAGCUUUGGGAUCCUCAGUAGAAAAGAGGCACAGACACACCUGAGAAUAGCAUAGUGCCACCAGCUGCCAGGAGAGGCUGAGACCAGGGCUUGCUCGGCCCAGAGAAGGGCUGACCAAGGUGAAGGGGGACACCCUGCUGCUGCCUACUGCUACCUAACUGGCAGCUUAUGCUGGCACCCUGCCACCUGUACCUGAGAGCUCUCAUGCAGAAGGACAUACUGCAAGAUAACCAGUUACUGAGUAUCACUGAACAGGGUUGCCUUCCCUAUGAAUAGCCUGAGCCUCUGGAAGAUGCAAAGGAACAGAAGCAACCACAGACUUUCAGAAGUGACAUUUCCGGCAUCUUUGCCAGUUCUGAACACUGGUAAUUUUGUUAAAAACAUACAAAUCAGGUAUUUUCAUACUACCCUAACCAAUAUUUACUUGCUGUGAACACAACUAUUACUCCAAUUUGCAGAUGGCUGUCCACAGAUGCAGAUGGCCUCAGGGAAACAUGGUUAUUUCUAUCACUGUAGCUUGUUUGGCGCUAUUCAUAUGCUGUCAAAUCUUGACACUAAACAGCUAUUUUAA